rnacentral:misc_RNA from 1 species
GAUGAAGAACGUAGCGAAAUGCGAUAAGUAAUGUGAAUUGCAGAAUUCAGUGAAUCAUCGAAUCUUUGAACGCACAUUGCGCCCAUUAGUAUUCUAGUGGGCAUGCCUGUUCGAGCGUCAUUAAGUCCACUUAAGCCCUGCUUAGUGUUGGGAGACUGCUCCAGCGGUGCUACCUGUAGCUACCCUGCAGCUCCUCAAAGACAGCGGCGGAGUUGUGGUAUCCUCUGAGCUUAGUAACUUGUUCUAGCUUUCGAGUACACCACUUCCCCUGCCGUAAAACCCUUAAUUUUUAAUGGUUGACCUCGGAUCAGGUAGGAAUACCCGCUGAACUUAAGCAUAUCAAUAAGCGGAGGA